rnacentral:rRNA from 1 species
UACGAAGGGUGCAAACGUUGCUCGGAAUUAUUGGGCGUAAAGAGCUCGUAGGCGGCUUGUCGCGUCGAAUGUGAAAACUCGGGGCUCAACUCCGAGCUUGCAUUCGAUACGGGCAGGCUAGAGUUCGGUAGGGGAGACUGGAAUUCCUGGUGUAGCGGUGAAAUGCGCAGAUAUCAGGAGGAACACCGGUGGCGAAGGCGGGUCUCUGGGCCGAUACUGACGCUGAGGAGCGAAAGCGUGGGGAGCGAACAGG